rnacentral:tRNA from 1 species
GUCGCGUUCGUCUAGACGGCCGAGGACACCACUCUUUCAAGGUGGGGACGCGGGUUCGAAUCCCGCACGCGACGCCA